rnacentral:rRNA from 1 species
GCGAACGGGUGAGUAACACGUGGGUGAUCUGCCUCGCACUCUGGGAUAAGCCUGGGAAACUGGGUCUAAUACCGGAUAUGACCACGGAUCGCAUGGUUUGUGGUGGAAAGAUUUAUCGGUGCGAGAUGGGCCCGCGGCCUAUCAGCUUGUUGGUGGGGUAAUGGCCUACCAAGGCGACGACGGGUAGCCGACCUGAGAGGGUGACCGGCCACACUGGGACUGAGACACGGCCCAGACUCCUACGGGAGGCAGCAGUGGGGAAUAUUGCACAAUGGGCGAAAGCCUGAUGCAGCGACGCCGCGUGAGGGAUGACGGCCUUCGGGUUGUAAACCUCUUUCGACAGGGACGAAGCGCAAGUGACGGUACCUGUAGAAGAAGCACCGGCCAACUACGUGCCAGCAGCCGCGGUAAUACGUAGGGUGCGAGCGUUGUCCGGAAUUACUGGGCGUAAAGAGCUUGUAGGCGGUUCGUCGCGUCGAUUGUGAAAACUUGCAGCUCAACUGCAAGCUUGCAGUCGAUACGGGCGGACUAGAGUACUUCAGGGGAGACUGGAAUUCCUGGUGUAGCGGUGAAAUGCGCAGAUAUCAGGAGGAACACCGG